ensembl:ncRNA lncRNA:CR45457 long non-coding RNA:CR45457
AUUUAAUUUUUAGGCAAUGGCGCUUCUGCUUUACGUAAGUCCUCGUACCUCUUCACGACUCAUUUUCAGAGGCUCCACUGUACAAUAAUUGCUGUUGGUCUUUCACCAUUGCUACUGUCAGCGCACUAACUGUAAACGAUGUUUUCUCGAUGAAGCUCAACUGCAGUCGCACACACGUGCAAGGACACUCACCUGAACGCACACACACACACACACACCAACACAGCGAAGAACAGCGGGGCAAGUAGUAGUCGGCGUGUGUGCUGUGCGUGUGUGCUGGAACUCGGCUCUCGGCAGGAGGUUUGUUUUGCACUGUGACACUAAUGUCUUUUUCUUGCUCUUUUUCUGCCGACCGCCCACUUGGCCUUUGGCACUUUGUCAAUUCACAAACAAAAACGAAUUGUACGCUGGAUUAUCGAGGAACACACAUACGCACAGGUGUACAGUGAGCAUGAGCGCCCACUAACGUUCUCGCUUUGCAUUUCAUGGCUAUGGUUUUUGCUUUUUGACCAAGU